AGAACACACUCAGCACUGGGUGGGACUUGGAGAGCGUCCUGGGAAAGAGUAGGAGCUCCUGAAUCAGUGAAUCAUAUGAUAGCACAAAUCUCUAUCGGUGGAGCCUACAGCUGCAGACAAACCUUGAAGAAGGUCUCCUACAGCAGCAUGAAAGGCUGCUGACCAGAGGCCAUUAGAACAUGACUGGGAAGAGGAAGACUUGGCUGUGACUGGGCUGGUACCUUCACAGAAGGCCCUCGAACAACUGUUUAUUUCCAGAGUCUUCCCGGGUAACUCUGAAUGUAUUCCUCCUCUCAUGAAAGUAUAGCUACUUACAGUCUUGAGUCUAGGGGGAGAGAGGGAGUUGCAUGCUGACAUUUAAGUGCCCCUUUUUACUGUCUUGCCCUUCUUAUAAAAAAUGUCAUUUAAAAUUUAAAUUAUAACAUUAGUGAAAUCUUAUUAAAUUUAAUAUGAUUUAAAUUAAAAUAAAAUUGCUAAAAUCAUCAAGUUGUGCAGAAAAAAAAAUGCAUAAUAAAAAAUUAAAAUUAGAAAAGUCCUCAGGGAGGAGGGCCAUCAUAACCCUCUUUCCUUCUCUUCUACCCCACUUCUCCCAAAUGGCUAUAUUGUAUGCAGUCAAAUUCUUUAAGAACUCAUGCAGUUGAAAGAGGAAAAGACUUUUCUGUAUGCCAAUAAGUGCAAAAACAUGCGAUUGUAAAUGAAGAAAUUGAUAUGUAAAGGUUCAAUGAUUUGUUCAAAGAAUAAAUGAAGCUGGCAUUAG
rnacentral:lncRNA from 7 species